rnacentral:rRNA from 1 species
CCCUUAGAUGUUCUGGGCUGCACGCGCGCUACACUGAUGCGAUCAACGAGUUUCUUCCUUUGUCGGCAGACACGGGUAACCUUUUGAACUCGCAUCGUGAUGGGGAUAGAUUAUUGUAAUUAUUAAUCUUCAACGAGGAAUUCCUAGUAGGUGCAAAUCAUCAGUUUGCAUCGAUUACGUCCCUGCCCUUUGUACACACCGCCCGUCGCUGCUACCGAUUGAGCAAUCUGGUGAAUUAUUCGGACUGGCUAUUGUUGAAGUUUCUUCGGCAUCCGCUGGAAAGUCUUGUAAACCCUAUUGCUUAGAGGAAGCAGAAGUCGUAACA